rnacentral:tRNA from 1 species
GAGAAAGAAGCAUAAGUGGUUUAAAAUGCGAUUGGCUUGAAACCAAUUAAUGGGGGUUCGACUCCUUCCUUUCUUG